rnacentral:rRNA from 1 species
GACGAACGCUGGCGGCGCGCCUAACACAUGCAAGUCGAACGAGAGAGAGGGAGCUUGCUUCCUCAAUCGAGUGGCGAACGGGUGAGUAACGCGUGAGGAACCUGCCUCAAAGAGGGGGACAACAGUUGGAAACGACUGCUAAUACCGCAUAAGCCCACAGGUCGGCAUCGACCAGAGGGAAAAGGAGCAAUCCGCUUUGAGAUGGCCUCGCGUCCGAUUAGCUGGUUGGUGAGGUAACGGCCCACCAAGGCAACGAUCGGUAGCCGGACUGAGAGGUUGAACGGCCACAUUGGGACUGAGACACGGCCCAGACUCCUACGGGAGGCAGCAGUGGGGAAUAUUGCACAAUGGGGGAAACCCUGAUGCAGCGACGCCGCGUGGAGGAAGAAGGUCUUCGGAUUGUAAACUCCUGUUGUUGAGGAAGAUAAUGACGGUACUCAACAAGGAAGUGA